rnacentral:lncRNA from 1 species
GUGAGACUGUGAAUUCUUCAAAAGCAGGUACUGUGUUUAAUGAAGUGUGCCCAGGACUUUGCUCAGUGACUGGAUGACACAGUAGGAGUAACAAGAAAGUUCACAUGGGUGAACCGUGGUAGGUGGACAUCGUCUCUCUCACCUCUUCCCAAAUCAAGGAUGAAGUACAUCUUCAUAAAUCCUCAUGUGAAUUAUUUUGCUACCUCUAGAAGCAUUUUCUAAAACAAGGUGCAGCAAUCAGUUGAGUGAAUUUGUCACCAGAGCUUAUGUUUUCUGAAAGAACCCUAUCCUCAGGCAGUUGUUCCUAAGAGAUUCCACAAAUAUGUCAGCGCUGGAAAUGAUCCUUUGGCUUUGAACUAUGUGAAGACUGCAGAAGGACUGGUUGGUCAGGCUGCAUUUGUAUCCUGGGUCCACAAGACAUCGUUUCCUUAAAACCAAUCCCCCUGAUUUUGCUAAGUGUCUGCAAGCCUAAUAUUUCAUGGAUGUUUGACAAGGACCCCGUCUUUAGCUGAACUAAGGAGAAAGUCCUGCAACACACACAUGGAGCUCAGCAAACGGAGGAUGUAGACCCCACUGGAAAUCGGACUGUUCAACUCACCUGGCAGCCACUCACAGAGCCCGUGGAACUCUGGCCCAAGGCUCUCUGACUCCUUCUCGGCUUAGCGGCUAAAGACUGACACUGCCCGAUCGCCUCGGAAGCCCCGUAGACCAUCACGGACGCCGAGCUUUAGGUAACUCUCACAGUGGAGGAUGAAGAAACUGAGGUCCAGAGAAGUUAAACGACCUUCCUAAGAUUACACAGCUUAGUAAGUGGCAGAACCACAGCUGGAAGCCAGGUCCUUCCUCACGCAAGUCCUGGCUCAUUCAUUCCUCUUCCAAAGACUUGCUGAGCACCUUCUAGGUGCCAGAUGCGGUGCUGGCUCCUGGGGACAUGGGAGUGAACAGGCCAGGCGUGGCCCUGAACCAUCAAAUAGACAACCACAGAAAUAACAACAACAAAGACAAAACCGGGCCCUUCCACACAGUAGCUGGAACACAAAGGAAGAUCAGCCAAGCCUCAACAUAAUCUCAUAAAAAUUCUUCAAAUAUCCCAUUGUUAUGGAUUCAUACAUCAGGAAAGCAGAUGCCAAGAACCUGAACACCUUCUACUGGUAACAUAUAUUUUGGCGAGCCAGCCUGGAGACAAGACCACUAUGGGCAACUUCCUGUCUAUUCUACCUGGUGUCACUGUGGACAACUUCCUAUCUAUUCCACCCGAUUCACCGCUUGGCUACAUCCUCCACCAUUGGGAUGAAUUUGACCCUAACAAUCUAAAGAAAAGGCAUAUGAUUUUUUACUGCAAUAUUGUUUGACACAAUUAUGAGCUGCCCAAUCCGGAACAAUGGGCAGUCAAUGGUAGCCUUAAUUAUGAUACCAUCCUGUAUCUAGACCUAUUUUACAAGAGGCAGGGCAAAUGGUCAGAAGUCCCACAUAUACAGGCCUACAUGACCCUAUACGAAGACCUAAGAAUCUAGGAAACUCCCAGAACCCAUCCCCCGAAGGAAAGUUCUGGGGCAGAACUAGAUAUUAUAGAUGAACCCCCUUUUACAAGGGAUACCUGUCUCUCAGAGUGAGCAGUGACUGUCCCCAUAUAACCCCUCACCAAGUGCUCCUGAGGCUGAAACCCAGGGGCAAACAUGGGGAACCCUACUAAGUCCCCCUCACACUUGGAGGGGAACACUGUAUUCAACUCUCUAUCCAGCCCUGCUACUCUCAGAGAAAUAGCAGGGGCUGAGGGGCCAAUCCUAGUGUGGGUCCCCUUCUCUAUGAUUGAUAUACAACAAUGUAAGGAAAAGCUAGGAAGCUAUUCUGAGGAUUCCGGGAAGUUUGCAGAUGGGUUCCAAACUUUGACCUUAGCCUUUGAUCUCUCAUGGAGAGACGUUCAAUUCACUCUAGCAACCUGUUGCACCUCCUCGGAAAAGGAACGAAUCUUUGAGGCUGCCCUCCGAGAAGUGGACGAAUUAUUCACCCAAAACCGUAAAGGCAGUCACCCAGGCCCAGCCACAGUUCCCACUACGCAUCCUAAUUGAGACCAAGACACCCCCGCAGGAAGGAACAACUGGGCUAAAUUUCUUGAGGCUCUUGGAGGAAUGAGAAAGGGAAUAACUAAGGCAGUAAAUUAUGAUAAAGUAAGGCAGAUUACACAAGGCAGGGAGGAAAACCCAGCUGUGUUUUACGGCAGGCUGCGGGAAGCCUUUAAAAAAUAUAUACUAAUUUGGUCCCUUCCUCUCCUGAAGGCAAGUUAUUAAUGGCACAACGUUUCAUUAGCCAAUCCACACCAGACAUUAGACGUAAGCUCCAAAAGCUACACAUGGGGCCACAAACUAACCAAAAUCAGCUUCUUGGUACUGCCUUCAUGGUGUAUAACAAUCGUGACCUGGAGGAAGGAGAAGGGAAACAGAGUAAAGAAAAACGGCAAGCCAAAAUUAUGUUAGCCAUCACUGGUGAUGCCCUAAAUGCACAAAGAUUGUCCAAGGGAAACUCAAAGGGCCAUAAGGAUAAUGCCAGCAAAGGCUCUUGCUUCAAAUGCAAUAAAAGUGCGAUUGGGCACAGGAAUCCACUAAGCCCCCGCCAGUCCCCUGCCGUCAAUGUAAAAGCACCAGUUGUGGCUCCUGGCCCUGGAGAAUUGACUGUCCCUGCUCCCACCAAGGGGCUCAGUCAGUCAAAACUCUGGCAGUGCACAAGGAGGAAUCAGAUGAAGACUGAAGGGGCCUGGGGCCUUCCUCACUGCCCCGUCUAGGAACAUUGUAAUUACUACUGAGGAACCCUGGGUAACUCUGGACAUCAUGGCCACCCAAAUUCAGUUUUUAUGUGAUACCAAGGUGAAUUAUUCUGUACAACUGCUUAUGCAGGAAAACUUUCCUCCCGGUCCAUGAGUGAUAUUGGAUGGAAGGGAAGCCACAAACAAGAUUCUUACUCCUCCUUUGGUUUGUCAAUUUGAGAAACAAAUCUUCCAACAGGAAUUUUUAGUAGUACCAAGCUGCCCAAUUCCCCUGUGGGAAAGAGAUAUUAUGGUGAAAAUAGUGACACUACUGCAAUUUAAGCAAUAUUAGCAGGUGAAACUGCUAAUAGUAAGAAAUAAGGCAAUGUCCCAGACCAUGUCAAUAAACAGGUUAACCCACUGGCAUGGUAUACUGGAAACCCAGGGAAGGCUAAAACAGCAGUGCCAGUCAAAAUACAGCUUAAAGACCCCAGCCAUUUUCCCAAUGGAAAACAAUACCCAGUUGAACAGGAAGCAAGCAAAGGUCUAGCUCCCAUAGUUGAGAUAUUACUUACCCAUGGACUCUUAAAACCCUGCAAUUCUCCCUGCAAUACCCCCAUCUUACCUGUUCUCAAGCCUGGGGGGAAUACCAGCUAGUACAGAACCUCAGAAUAAUGAAUGAGGCUGUUAUCCCCGUCCACCCAUUGGUGGCAGAUCCAUAUGCCCUCCUGGCUCAGGUGCCAGGGCAUGCAAAAUGGUUCUCAGUCCUAGACCUUUCUUCUCCAUUCCUCUGGCCCCGAGCCCCCCAGUACCUUUUUGCUUUCGAAUGGGAAAAUCCUAAUACCAGAUAAAAACAAUACACUUGGACAGUGCUUCCUCAGGGCUUUCGGGAUAGCCCCCACUUCUUUGCCUGAGCAUUAGAGCGGGAUCUGAGGGAUUUCAAGUUAGAAAAUGGAGGUAUUCUUCAGUAUGGGGAUGACCUUGUGUGUAGCCCAACCUAGGAGGUUUCUGACCAAAAUACUAUAAAAACUUUGAAUUUCCUGGCAGACAGAGGAUACAAAGUGUCCAAAAAGAAGGCUCAGAUUACCCUCCAAUGGGUCCACUAUUUAGGAUAUGUCUUAACACCCGGAACCCGGCAAAUAUCCCCAGAAGGAGUGCAAGCUAUAUGUGGUUUGGCCGCGUGCACCACCCCCAGCCCCCACCCUGACCCACCUCCAAGCAGCAGCUUUGUUCCUUUUUGGGGAUGGCCGGGCUUUGGAGAAUAUGAGUACCAAAUUUUGGGCUCAUAGCAAAGCCCCUAUAUGAAGCAACAAGGGGGCCUGAAAAUGAGCUAAUGGAAUGGACCCCGGAAAUGAGGAAAGCCUUUGCCAAGUUAAAACAGGUUCUCACCCAGGCUCCUGCUCUUGGUAUCCCAGACCUAAUUAAGGCCUUCUCCUUGUAUGUAGCAGAGAAGAGGGGCAUAGCUGUGGGAGUGCUAGCCCAGAAAUUAGGAUCAGAACCCAGACCAACCGCCUACUUCUCAAAAAAGUUGGACGGAGUGGCCUCAGGAUGGCCAAGUUGCCUGCGGGCAAUAGCAGCCACUGCUGUUAGUGGAGGAAGCCACUAAAAUCACCCUAGGGCAACCACUGGAAGUUCUAACGCUCCAUCAGGUAAAGUUAGUCUUAGAAAUAAAGGGACACAUCUGGAUGACAGGGGAAAUGUUAACUAAAUACCAGCCCAUGCUCCUAGACAAUCCAGAUAUAACUCUUAAAACCUGCAACACUUUAAAUCCAGCUUCAUUGCUGCCCACAGGCCCAAUAAUUGAUCAUUCCUGUGAGCAGGUCAUUGCACAUACAUAUGUUAGCCAGCCUGAUUUAAAAGAUGAGGCUCUCCCAGAUUCUGAAGCUGACCGGCUCACAGACGGCAGUAGUUCUUUGUCGAAUGGGGAGCACAGAGCUGGAUAUGCAGCAGUAAAUCAUGACACAAUUAUUGAAGCCCAGCCAGUGCCCCCUGGCACAUCAGCACAAAAGGCUAAAAUCAUUGAUCUUACUCAAGCAUUAAUGUUGGGACAAGGGAAAAAACUUAACAUCUAUACAGAUUCUAAAUAUGCAUUCCUUGUGGUUCAUGCUCAUACCGCCAUCAGGAAAGAAAGGGGAUUACUUACUAGCAAGCACUCCCCUAUAGAGCAUGGACCUGAAAUUCUGCAGCUAUUGAAGGCAAUACACCUGCCAAAGGCCAUAGCUAUCAUUCAUUGUAGGGGGCAUCAAAGGGACUUAACCCCUAUAGCACAAGGGAAUGGAAAGGCUGACGGAAGCCAAAGCAAAAGCCCUCAGCGUGCAAUCCCAACAGAUCCUAGCACUGCUUCCUUUCUACAAUUCCCCAGUAGAACCCAAAUACACACCACAGGAAGAACAGCUAAUAAAAAAAGCAAGGGAGACAAAAACAAGGAUCCUGGUGGCAUAUGGAGCCAAAAAUAUAUCUCCCUCAGGCAGCCCAGUGGAGAGUUAUAAAAGCCCUGCAUGACUCUUUCCAUGUGGGGAGGGAUGCGGCUCUGGCCAUGGUAAACAAGUUCUUUACUGGGUUUAACUCAGCUUCAAUGGCUAAGCAGGUCUGUCAAGCCUGCUCACUGUGUGCAUUUAACAAUCCAGGCAUCAAAAUGCCCCCUCUAAUAAAACCAGUCCAAAGGAGGGGAACUUAUCCAGGGGAAGACUGGCAGUUAGACGUCAUCCAUAUGCCAGCUUGCAGAGGAUACAAGCUUUUGUUAAUACUAAUAGAUACUUUUAGGUUGGGUCAAAGGUUACCCCAGAAAAGGCUAAUGAGGUUCUAAGGUCCUCUUAAAAGAAAUAAUUCCCCAGUUUGGGUUACCUCAGGGUCUCCAAAGUGAUAAUGGCUAAUCCUUUAUCUCCCAAAUAACUCAAGGGGUUGCUAAGGCUCUUGGAAUAAAAUACUAUUUACAUUCAGCCUGGAGGCCCCAAUCCUCUGGAAAAGUGGAAAGGGUUAACCAAACUCUAAAAUAAGCACUAGCUAAACUAUGUCAGGAAACAUCAGAAACUUGGGUUAGCUUAUUGCUCACAGCCCUUUUAAGAAUUUGUAAUACCCCUAGCUCAAAAAUUAACAGAAGCCCAUAUAAAAUGUUAUACAGAAGGCCAUUCUUAACUAAUGAUUUAAUUAUUGACCCAGAAAGAGUUGGUGUAAUUAAAUACCUAGUCAACCCAGAACAAUUCCAGCGGGUUUACAAGAGUUUGGAAUUCAAAGGCUCCUCACACUUGGAACUAACCAGCAACCCAAAAUCAGGCCAGGAGAUAGGGUACUUGUUAAAACAUGGAAUGAGGGAUCACCUGCCCAACAAUUACAACCCCAAUAGAAGGGACUUUUUUCAGUAAUACUGGCCACGUCUUCUGUGGUCAAAGUACUAGUAUUAGAUAGCUGGAUACAUCUUUCAAGGAUCAAACCAUCAAUACCAGAAGCUCCAGACCAGGAACCUGAAGUUCCCAUCAGCCAGUACACCUGUGAACCAGUGGAGGACCUGAAGUACCUGUUUAAAAGAUAGCCAAAAGAUAAGUAAAUGCCUACCAACUUUCUUUGGUGUCUUUGUUGCAUAGUUACUGUGGGCUGGAAAAUAGUAGCCAUUUUUAUCUUUGCAGUUUAAUUGCCUUCUUCCAAAUAGAUAAAAAUCACUUCCUUUGUAAUAAUUAAACAGAAUUUAAAAAAUACAUUUCUAUGACAAAUAUUCCUGAUGGCAUAAGUAUCCACCCCAAGGUUCCCAUUAAAUCUUUUAACCUAAAGUAUUUCCUCUCACCUAGAGAUCAUCGAGCUGUGUGACAAGGGUGCCAGCCACUCCAGGUGAAGACACCACCCCAGGCCAUCAAGGAUCUUCCCUACCUUCACUAAACAGAGCAGGGUGAAAGUUGUGUGAUCCCCAAUAGGUAGGGACUACACCCCAAGUCAGCAGGAAGCAGUUACAGAAGAAAGACCAUUGGUCCCUCUGCUUCCCAUAAAGAUUUAUGGGGAUCACAGCUUUCACGGGGGAGAUGAGGCAAGAGAAUAGGGCAUGCAGGCAGGGUACUUGAGGCCAAUCCACGCUGACUUCCUAGAACUGAAUUAAAUGAAAGCUCCUCAGCAAUGACAGGAAUGUGAAUGGCUUUGUAACUUCUUCCUCUCCAUUAAUGCUAUUUCCACUUUGUAACUUCACUUUCAUCCUCUCCAUUUACAUAGAUCACACACCAAGUAACAUCCUCUCCAUUUACAGUAGGGCGCAUUCCGAGUCAAUGACUCUGACUGCACUUCGUUCUCCUCAUUUACAUAGAACAUUCGCCAAGUAACCAAUGGGAAACCUCUAGAGUAUUGAAACUCCAGAAAAUUCCGUAAGUGGGGCUCUUGAGCGUCUACACUCGGGUCGCUCCCACACUGUGGCGUGUACUUUUAUUCUCAAUAAAUUCCCGCUUUUGCUUUCCUCGUUC